rnacentral:tRNA from 1 species
GCGCCGUGUCGCCGGGUUCGAAUGCGUCGUCGGGGUCGACGCGUUGGUGCAGCAGGGCGAACUGACGCCGGAGCGCUUCCGGCGCGUCGUU